AUCUCGUGUUGAGAGCCGGAAGAUGCUGGAGAAGGAAUGUGGUGGAAUGACUGCCUGAGAAUGAACCAUUCUCCAGUGAGAGGGGGCUUCGAUAUUGAAAGGGCAAUUUGGCCUUAACUUGGAAAUGCUGGAGAUUGAUUGCAUACAAUCUGUCCUGCUAGUGAGAGAAGCAAGGACUGCAUCUAAGUGCAACAUGAAGACUUUUGGUCCCAAGCUUUCCUCCAACUUCAGUGGGAGGCAGCCCAAAACCACCGUCGGUUCAAGAAUACAAGUGACCUGCAAUUCUUGGAAAGACUCCCCCAAUUCUUCUCCCAAUAUGUGGUCAGCUUUUCCAGCAGGAUUAGGGAGGGAGGAGUUUCAGCUGUGCUUCUAAGAUCUUCCAGAAUGAAUUUUCUACCUCAAAAAUCAAGGACUUUUCUGGAAACUGCAGUCAGAGGACAGAACAUCAGCCUCAAGCUGGUAAAUAGGAUGGAUUUUCUCCCUAAACAUCCCUUCUGCUUUCUAGUUUGAAUUAUCAAUAAAAUGGUUUGGCUUAUCUCUGAAAA
rnacentral:lncRNA from 1 species